CGCAGGGUUCGGCCAUCCUAGUACGAGAGGACCGGGAAGGACGCACCUCUGGUGUACCAGUUAUCAUGCCUACGGUAAACGCUGGGUAGCCAAGUGCGGAGAGGAUAACUGCUGAAAGCAUAUAAGUAGUAAGCCCACCCCAAGNCCG
rnacentral:ncRNA from 1 species